UUUUUUUUUAAGUUUAAAAUAUAUAGUCAUGGCUGCGUCGCUUGCUUGAAGUUUGAUUUCGCAUAGUUUGUAAACCAAAAGUAUGGCAUCUUUUGCAAGAUUUGUUUCUGAUUAUUGUAAAUCUUGGGACAAAUCAGGAAAAGAACAAUUCAUAAAAAAUGUGACUCAAUCUAUAAAAGAUGAAGAGAAAAGUCCUUUAUUUACAAAAUCUGGAAAACUUUCUGGUGUAUCGCAAAGUGUUUAUGACUUACUCCUUUGUGGGUUGAGGGGCAAUUUAAAGAAAGAUGUAGUUCUCUCUACCCUUAGAGAAAUUUCUUCUUUACAUGCUGACAUACCAUCCAUAAUCCUUGAUGUCUUAUGUGUACUUGAUGCGGAGACCUGCACAGAUAUCCAAAGUGAUGAACGUUCAAAUUUCUGCCAUAUUGUUAGGGAACUAGAAUCAUUUAUGUCUGACAAGCUUUUGAAGGAAAGAUUAGAAAUUGACACAUUACAAGAUGUAGGAACUCUGAAGAAUAAAAAUUUUUAUACCAAAUUUAUAAAAAUCAAGACUAAGCUAUACUACAAACAGCGUAAGUUUAAUCUAUUUCGGGAAGAGAGUGAAGGAUAUGCAAAAUUAAUAGUGGAGUUAAAUCAAGAAAUAAGUGAAGAUAUAGAAUCAAAAACUUUAUUAGAAAUUAUACAAUCCUUGAUUGGGUGCUUUAAUUUAGAUCCAAAUAGAGUAUUAGAUAUUAUCCUGGAGUCCUUUGAAGCCAGACCGCAUCUAGAUAAACUUUUCAUCACUCUCAUAAAAAAUUACAUGGGAGAUCCACAAGUUAUUUCCGAAGUUUUAGGCUUUAAGUUGGGAAACAUGGAAGUCUUGGAUACAUGUAAGGAACCUCCACCAUUGAUGACUGUGAUAGCUUUGCUUUUACAACAUCAAGUCAUAUCUUUAGAUGACAUAUUUCCUUGGUUACGUCCAGAUAAUUUUUUGAUGGCCAAAGAAGCAGAUAAGGAAUUUAAAGCUGCUCAAGACUAUAUUCGGAAAUUAAAUAUUGUGUCAACCAAAGGUCCACAAGCCAAUGGGCCCACAGAAUUUGUUGAAGAAAAAGCUGAUCCUCAGGAGUAUUGGAACAAUCAAAAACUAGUUCUGAGUGAAGCUUUACUCAAAGUGACAGCAUGGAAGGAAUUUGCAGCCCUGUCUGCACGUUUACCUGUCACCACAAUGUUUGCAAGACCUGCUAUAGCAUUGUGCAAUAUGUUGCAUGCUCUCAUUGAGCCAUUAUACAGAACACAUUGCCGAGUAGCCCCAAAGAUAAUAGGCAAACCAAUACCGCCAUUGGAGUCUAGUUUAGCCCCACCUGCAUGCAAAACCUUUGAUGAUAUGAAAGAGACCGUUAUUCCCGCCCUCAUUCUGUUAGGUCCAGCUCUUCAUCAUGAUCCUGUUUUAAUGUAUAAGAUUAUUCGUAUUUUACGAACAGCCCGCUCAAAACCAAAUGACCCAUUGCAUUACGAAGCGCUCACAGUGCUUGAUGCUGCCAUUUUGCCAUCCCUUACUUUGAUGGAAGGUAACUGCUGCAUGGCUGAAGAAAUUUACACUUUGUUGAAGUUAUAUCCAUAUCAGUGUAGAUACUGUUUAUAUUCCCGAUGGAAGAAUGAAGCUGGUGAAAAAAUACCCGCAUUGAUGCGCGUGCGUGGAAAUGCUCUACAAAGAAUCAAGCACAUCAUGAAACGUGUUUCCAAAGAGAAUAUAAAGCCACAAGGCCGUCUCAUCGGCAAACUGUCUCAUGCUGCACCAGCCUUCUUAUUUGACUAUAUGCUGCUUCAAAUCCAAACAUACGACAACCUGAUCGGGCCCGUGGUGGAGUCCCUGAAGUACCUGACGUCGCUGUCGCUGGACGUGCUGGGCUACUGCCUGGUGGAGGCGCUGCAGCGGCGCGGGCGCUCCGCGGGCGCCGCGCACCCGCCGUGGCUGCAGGCGCUGGCCGCCUUCGCUGGAGCCGCUUUCAAGAAGCACAACAUUGAACUCACUGCGCUAUUGCAGUUCGUAGCGAACAGACUGAAAGCCCAACACAGUCAUGACUUACUGAUUUUAAAAGAAAUUGUCCAAAAAAUGGCUGGCAUUGAAGCUGCUGAAGAAAUGACACCAGAACAAUUAGAUGCUAUGGCCGGUGGAGAACUAUUGAAAGGAGAGGCUGGCUACUUCUCUCAAGUAAGAAAUACGAGGAGAUCAUCAGCCCGAUUAAAGGAAGCCAUAGUUGGAAAUAAUUUGGACAUUUCAUUGUGUAUAUUAUCUGCACAACAACGUCAUUGCUGUGUUUGGAAAGAUGAAGAAGAAGUACCCGUGAUUGGCGAACCGCCAGGGUCGCAACUGAAGGUAGUUGGCAGGCUGGCCGACCAAUGCCAGGAGGCGUUAGUCCAACUGGGCACAUUCCUGGCGUCCUCUCAUGCUCCCGACGAGUAUGCCGCUCGAUUACCUCCAUUGCAGGAACUUCUCCGAGAGUAUCACGUGGACGCUGACGUAGCGUUCUUUUUGCACCGACCCGUGUUGGCUCAAAAAAUAGCGGCUCGAGUUGAAGUCUUAAGAAAGAGUUCUGAUCCCAAAUCGGAUUCUUUAGAGAAAAGUAUCGAGCGUUACACAACCGCGUCGAAGGAAACAUUGGAGCCGAUACUGGUAUCUGUCACGCCGAUGUUGCCUGCACGAGUUUGGGAGGAUAUCUCACCGGAAUUUUAUGUUACAUUUUGGUCAUUAUCAAUGUACGACCUUCGAGUACCAGUGGAAAGCUAUGAGCGUGAGAUCGACCGUUUGAAGAUAGCUGCUGCCAACGCCGGGAAAGAUAUGUCGCAGGGGACAAAAGGGAAGAAAGAACAAGAGAGAUUUAACACUCUCAUUGAAAAGUUACAAGAAGAGCGUCGUCGACAAGAAGAGCACGUGGCGCGUGUUUCGGCACGUUUACAGCGCGAAUGUGCCGGCUGGUUUCCGGCGCGUGCCGCUAAGUCUGCCAAGAACGAGACCGUGACCCGCCUCAUGCAGCUCUGUUUGUUCCCGCGGUGCGUCUUCACGCCUGUCGACGCGCUCUACUGUGCAGAGUUCGUGCACACCGUGCACUCGCUCAAGACGCCUAACUUUUCCACACUCCUGUGUUAUGACCGGCUGUUCUGCGACAUCACGUACUCGGUGAUGUCGUGCACGGAGGGCGAGGCGGCGCGCUACGGCACGUUCCUGCGCCGCGUGCUGCGCACCGCCAUGCGCUGGCACGCCGACCGCGCCGCCUUCCAGCGCGAGUGCGCGCACUACCCCGGCUUCGUCACCAAGUACCGCGUCUCCAACCAGUUCACCGAGGCCAACGACCACGUCGGCUACGAGAACUACAGACAUGUUUGCCAUAAGUGGCACUACAAGAUCACCAAAGCGAUGGUGGUGUGCCUGGACUCGCGGGACUACGUUCAGAUCCGCAACGCUUUGAUUGUACUCAUACGUGUGCUCCCACACUUCCCGGUGCUCGAGAAACUGGGGCAAAUCAUUGAAAGGAAAGUUGAUAAGGUAAAAGAAGAAGAGAAGACACAGCGUCAGGAUUUGUACGUCCUAGCGACUGGCUACAGCGGUCAGCUGCGCAACAAGGUUCCUAACAUGAUGAGGGAGAGUGACUUCCAUCAGGUGGGCGACAAGCACAAGGCGGCGGGCGCGGCGCGCGAGGAGCCCGCCAAGCGCGAGGACGCGGCGCGCAGCCCGCCCACGCCGCCCGAUAACGACAAACGAGACUCACGGAACAGCGACAGACGUCGUGAUGAGUCGGAUCGAGAAAAAGAGUCCAAAAGAGAUUCGAAAACAUCGCUCAAAGAAAGAGCAAAGGAGGAAAUCAGGAACAAAGAGAAAUCUCCAAGAGAACGAUCGCACAGGGAGGAGCGUUAUUUGGAAGCGGUAUCCCCACCACAUGACCAUCGUCAUCCCCCCGAUGACAUUGAACGAGACGUGAAGCGGCGUAAAGUAGAAGCCGCCGGCAAUGGCAAGGUGAGUAUCGUUGUGAUAAACCGACCUUGCAUCGCGCUAGCGCCGGACUGAGGAUUGGGCUGGACGCGACACCGCGCCCAGCGGACACCACCGCCGACAUGUGAACAUGGACUAUGAACUGUUAACAGUGCUAAUAUAAAUAAUUAAAUCAAGAAAAAGUGUACAUAAACCCAAACUACUGUCAAGCCUUCAAAUAAGACUUAAUCUUCACCACUGGUAAAAUGAAAUAUAUUUAAUUCAAGAAGCAAUGAAGAUAACUGCGGAGUAUGAAGCAUAAGAUAUAAAGAUAAAUUAACAAUCGCAAAAUCAACACCAAAUAGAGACCCUUUUUUAAAUGGAUUAUUACCUACAUCUGGAAUCAUGAAUAAAAACCAGAAGGACAAUAGCAAAGCGAAUGAACCUAACAUAAAAUAAAGAUCAGUGUAAUUUUAUAUAUUAAAACAAAUAAAUCUUCCUUAUAAUCAACAUAAUGUUUAUAACAAAAAUAUUAAAAUUGUUAAUGUCCAGAAACUUGAAAGAUGACAAUAAGAUGUAAGAAAAUCGAAAUGAAGGUGUCUACUGCUAAAGGAUCUAAGAUUGAAAAAUUAACAAAUUGAAGAUUAAUUAUAAAUAAAAAUGAAGAAUAAAGCAACUGUAAAAAUUUUCAUCAUCUAAUAUCUACCACCACAUCGAGAUAGAAAAUUUUGGAGAAAUCAUCAUGCAAGAACUUGAAGACUGAAAAUUUACUAAUUAACAAAAUUUUAUACAAUUAUCAAAUGAAGCGUGUCGUGUGUCGUAAGUCCAUUCAGCCCAGUCCAAUAGCAAACUGGCAAGCAAAGAAAUAGAGGAACGUUCGCCUGAGAAAGAGAAGCGGAAAGCUAAAGUUAGAGGUGACGAACGUAAAGAGCGUAAGAUGAGCCGCAAAAGGGACAGGGCUGAAGAAUCUUUAUUGCUGGAACAAAAACGACG